rnacentral:rRNA from 1 species
UACAGAGGGUGCGAGCGUUAAUCGGAAUUACUGGGCGUAAAGCGUGCGUAGACGGUUAUUUAAGUCGGGUGUGAAAGCCCCGGGCUCAACCUGGGAAUUGCAUUCGAGACUGAAUAGCUAGGGUACGGUAGAGGGAAGUGGAAUUUCCGGUGUAGCGGUGAAAUGCGUAGAUAUCGGAAGGAACAUCAGUGGCGAAAGCGGCUUCCUGGACCAGCACCGACGUCAGGCACGAAAGCGUGGGGAGCAAACAGG